rnacentral:miRNA from 1 species
GGCGUCGAAUAUCGACGUCAUAAACACCUAAGUUGGUCGUGUUUAUGACGUCGACGUGAUAAACACCUGAGUUGGUCAUGUUUAUGACAUCGAUUAUCGACGUCAUCAACACCUAAGUUGAUUGUGUUUAUGACGUCGAAUAUCGACGUCAUAAACACCUAAGUUGGUCGUGUUUAUGACGUCGACGUCAUAAACACCUAAGUUGGUCGUGUUUAUGACAUCGAAUAUCGACGUC